UAAAUAGAAAUAGAGAGAGGUGAUGAAAUUGAGAGAGAGUGUACGAAGACACGAAGAACGAAACAGGAAAAGAGAGAGGCGAUGAAGACACAGUGAAAGAAUCAGAAAAAGAGAGAGGCGAUCCUGCCUCCGCCAGUCUCCUCGCCAUACUCCGACCACCAGAACUGCAGACACACAGUUUCUUCCGUUCUGAUUCUCCUUUUCCUUCGAAAAAUUCAGCCGUUCUCUCUGUCUUUCUUAAAAUCAAAAACCCUAACCAUUGAAAGACGAUGAAAUAUAGAAAGGAUGAGGCUGCGACACGGAGAAAGAAACAGUGAAAGAGGCAGAACGGUGAACACCGCAUCGAUUGGGCAUAAGAAAUUGAGAGAUAAAUUGUGUUUUGAAACUUUCUGAUUUCAUACAGAGACAUUUUUCAUUCUAUGAGGAUGAAGGAAGAUGAAGCGGCCUUCAGCAUAAGCACGAAAAACCCCUUUCCCAGGAACUCUCGAUAUCAGACCAUUCUUUCUUGAAUUGUGGCAGAAACUAGAGAGCGAACGUCAGAGAGAAAUCCAGUCAAAAAUAGAAAGUGGAGAGUGGAAAAAACUAAGAAGAUAGUCACGCCUCUACCACCAUCUGACCCAUACUCUCCACUGCUUCAUUCUGAUGCCAAACUCAGGAUUUACUGUCAAAAUCAAAGUUUGAGAGAGAAUUUGUAGCUUGAAAGUGGAUGGAUUUAUUUCAUCUUUGAUUACUAUGUUUUUAGUUAUUUUAAUUUUUCGACUACGACAAUAUAGUGUAUUUAAUUGUAUUGUGGCUGUUUGGAUCAGUUAUAUAUCUGCUUGAAUGCAUCAAAAUUUUCCUUAUAAUAA